UUUUAGACCUGAUAGAAAUGGAAAGCCCACAGCGCAGCGAGGACUUGUAAUGGAAAGCAGUGACAAAC
rnacentral:sRNA from 1 species